AGUGAACGCUGGCGGUAGGCCUAACACAUGCAAGUCGAACGGCAGCACAGUAAGAGCUUGCUCUUACGGGUGGCGAGUGGCGGACGGGUGAGGAAUACAUCGGAAUCUACUUUUUCGUGGGGGAUAACGUAGGGAAACUUACGCUAAUACCGCAUACGACCUACGGGUGAAAGCAGGGGAUCUUCGGACCUUGCGCGAUUGAAUGAGCCGAUGUCGGAUUAGCUAGUUGGCGGGGUAAAGGCCCACCAAGGCGACGAUCCGUAGCUGGUCUGAGAGGAUGAUCAGCCACACUGGAACUGAGACACGGUCCAGACUCCUACGGGAGGCAGCAGUGGGGAAUAUUGGACAAUGGGCGCAAACCUGAUCCAGCCAUACCGCGUGGGUGAAGAAGGCCUUCGAGUUGUAAAGCCCUUUUGUUGGGAAAGAAAAGCAGCAGGUUAAUACCCCGCUGUUCUGACGGUACCCAAAGAAUAAGCACCGGCUAACUUCGUG
rnacentral:rRNA from 1 species